UACGGAGGAUGCAAGCGUUAUCCGGAUUUAUUGGGUUUAAAGGGUGCGCAGGUUGUUUGAUAAGUCAGUGGUGAAAGUCUGUCGCUUAACGGUAGGAUUGCCAUUGAUACUGUUGGACUUGAAUAUGGAUGAGGUAGGCGGAAUGUGUAGUGUAGCGGUGAAAUGCAUAAAUAUUACACAGAACACCGAUUGCGAAGGCAGCUUACUAAUCCAUCAUUGACGCUGAGGCACGAAAGCGUGGGGAUCAAACAGGA
rnacentral:rRNA from 1 species